AACAACAUGACAGUGAAAACAGUAUGAAAAUACUAAUAUUAUAACCUUUUGAACUAAAGAGUGUUUAAAAGUGUGAGUAGGUGUGUGUGAGAGUAGGUGUGUGUGAGAGUACGUGUGUGUGAGUACGUGUGUGUGAGGUCUGCCGUCCACACCCACACCACAUGACUAAACAACAUUCAGACCCUAACAGCGUAUUUCCAUCUGAACACAACAGUGAGGUUUGACUGGCACACUGCUUCCCUGCUUCCCGUCAAUACCAGCGAGCUUUAGCUGGAGCAAAGGCUAGCUUUAGCUGGAGGAGAAAAUGCUAUUAGCUGGUGGAAUAGCUAGCUUUAGCUGGAGGAAAGGCUAGCUUUAGCUGGAGGAAAGGCUAGCUUUAGCUGGUGGAAUAGCUAGCUUUAGCUGGAGGAAAGGCUAGCUCUAGCUGGUGGAAUAGCUAGCUUUAGCUGG
ensembl:lncRNA